UACGUAGGGUGCAAGCGUUGUCCGGAAUUAUUGGGCGUAAAGAGCUCGUAGGCGGUCUGUCGCGUCGGCUGUGAAAACCCGGGGCUCAACCCCGGGCCUGCAUUCGAUACGGGCAGACUAGAGUUCGGUAGGGGAGACUGGAAUUCCUGGUGUAGCGGUGAAAUGCGCAGAUAUCAGGAGGAACACCGGUGGCGAAGGCGGGUCUCUGGGCCGAUACUGACGCUGAGGAGCGAAAGCGUGGGGAGCGAACAGG
rnacentral:rRNA from 1 species